rnacentral:lncRNA from 1 species
AACCCGUCUCAGCACGUUAGCCUCCCCUGCACAAGCUAAAGCAGCAGCCUCAGGGCGAAUAUCCACACUGUGCGCCUUCCCUAAAGGUUGGGGCCUGCGGAUGCCCGGAAAGGCAGCCCCCCAGGCCCGAGCGCAUGGCGAUCCCGUUUCAACUGCGGAGCGUCUCGCGAGAGCUCGGAGCGCCGAACUCCGCCCCCAACAAUGCGCAAGCCGGGUGAUUGACGCGGGCGGAGCGGCCUGGCGAGGGCGAUGCCAACGGUUCACCGGCACCGGUCCUGUCCCGUCGCCUCCGCGCCGUGGCCGAGUGGAGACCGCUGCCUCCAACCCUUCCCCAAGUAAAGCCUAGGACCCUCCCCCAACUCGUGUGGAUGACCGAAAAUAAAGCUUCGGGUCCUGGUUACAGUGUACCGAACUCGGACUGCGCCACGGCUUUUUACUCCAUGUUUCCCGUGCUCUACACUGGGAAGGAAAGCAGCCGAAGUUUCGUAAUGUCUUAGAGAGGAAAAACGCCCUUUAGCCACUGCUUUCGCACCACCGUCCUAUCUCCCCACAAUCCGGGCCCUACCCAUCAUGGAAGCUUCUGGAAGGGCACAGGAGUGCUGUACCCUAAGAAAACGUCCAUUAAUUUAGAGUUUUUGCCUCCGUGCCAUCCACUAUCAUCUCCCCUGGCGCCCUAUGACCUUCACUACAGACCGCGACCGCCAACAGACUGCAUACCUGUUAU